ACUCAAAUGAAUAGACGGGGACCCGCACAAGCGGUGGAGCAUGUGGUUUAAUUCGAGGCAACGCGAAGAACCUUACCAACCCUUGACAUGGGGAUUUCGGAUUACAGAGAUGUUUUCCUUCAGUUCGGCUGGGUCCCACACAGGUGCUGCAUGGCUGUCGUCAGCUCGUGUCGUGAGAUGUUGGGUUAAGUCCCGCAACGAGCGCAACCCUCAUCCAUAGUUGCCAUCAGGUAAUGCUGGGAACUCUAUGGAAACUGCCGGUUAUAAGCCGGAGGAAGGCGGGGAUGACGUCAAGUCAGAACGGCCCUUACGGGUUGGGCCACACACGUGCUACAAUGGCAGUGACAAUGGGUCGCAACUGCGCAAGCAGAAGCUAAUCUCAAAAAGCUGUCUCAGUUCGGAUUGUUCUCUGCAACUCGAGAGCAUGAAGUUGGAAUCGCUAGUAAUCGUAGAUCAGCACGCUACGGUGAAUACGUUCCCGGGUCUUGCACACACCGCCCGU
rnacentral:rRNA from 1 species